UUAAAUUUGAUUGAAAAUUAUGAUGAAUUGACGAUAAAUGAUUGAUACUCUGAUACGAUGUAUUUAAAAUGCUCGAAACGAACGUUGACGAAUAGUAUUGCUUCUUUGUUUCAGGAAUUUGUCAGUCGCUCGUUACUGCUCGCUUUUUGCCUCACUUGUUCCAAAGGCACUGGUCCUUCUGCUUUGCAACUGGUUCUAGAGGAGCUUCGCCAUCAUUGCUAUUAAUGUAAUUGAAAAUUGCUCCUAUUUACUUUUAUAAUUUAAUUAAGCCUAACGAAGCUGUAGUUGGAGAGGAAGCUUCUUCGGAGGUAGCUGCCGUUUUUUUCGAUUUCAGUUCACUGAUGUACAGAGGAGUAGCUGAACAUCGUAAGGAGGGAUGUUGGUGGCGUAAAAAAGUGAAGGAAAGCAAGGAAAAAGCAGCUCUUCCUCGGGUAACCCGUAUGCGUAUGCGUCUGCACCUGAGGACAUUACCGAGUGUCAUUCGAAUGCUGAGCACGGCAGCCACGAGCGACUUGUGAAGUUGUAAAGCAUUGGGUGUCUUGUUUAAUGAGAGACUGUAUGUCGUUCGGGAGCUGGUUGGGUAUCGGUAUCGGUUCUAGCGAACCGUACGAGGAGACGGGAAAGAAAAAUAUCGUUGCAGCAAUUGCUAGCAUAAUUGUAUUACCAUUUCUACGCGCACUGGAAUUUAAAGACAUUCCAACAGAAGAAACAUUAUAAUACUGGUUCCCUACAUUCCUUCCGAUCAUAGGGUGGAUGCUGAAUUUCAUUGCCUCGAGAAGGAGAAGCAAAAAAGAUGAGCUGGAGAUGCCGGGGAUCGAACCCGGGGCCUUUCACAUGCAAAGCGAACGCUCUACCACUGAGCUACAUCCCCUUAUAUAGAGCUUGUAAAUUUAAUCUGGUUAUAACAUGUAAAUGAAAAAAAAAUAUUUAAAAAAUGUCAAUUUUUCCCUCGUGAGCGAUCGAAGGCGAUCGUAACUGGACUGUCGAGCAAUCCUUUACACGAAUUUAUAUCAAAAUGUAGAAUUCGUCAAUUCAUUCACAAUCGUGGAAAUUAAAUUGCAAUGAGUUUAAUCGAGUAAAAUCGAAAAUUGUGUUUGUAUACAAAGUUUUCCCAUUCUUAGUUUGGAAGAUAUGUGUCCAGGGUUGCCACAUAUACAGAACAUUCUAUAUUUUACAGAUUUUUAGGCCAAAUUUCUUAUACAGAAUCUGUAUAUACAGAAUUACAGGUUUUCAACAAAGCUACAUAAUUCUAAGAUUUUUAAUCAAACCGAAAUUUGAAUAUCCAAUAAAUUACAGUCAAUUUUCUCUGUCUAUCUUCUUAUUAAUAAACUUACUUUGUUUUAUACGCCAACAAAACAAAGUUCAGAAAUCGGUUGGCUUCCACAAUGAUGGACUCUACUUUAAAAGCAAAGAACUAUGUAUUGGCUCAAGAAAGAAUGUGAAGGAUGAAAUUGGCGGAAAAUUUGACGGCAAAGUUCAACAAAACCAUAUAUAAACAUCAG